CAGCCGCCGCGGGAAUACGUAGGGUGCGAGCGUUAAUCGGAUUUACUGGGCGUAAAGCGUGCGCAGGCGGCCCGUUAAGACAGGUGUGAAAUCCCUGGGCUCAACCUAGGAAUUGCGCUUGUGACUGGCGGGCUCGAGUACGGUAGAGGGGGGUGGAAUUCCUGGUGUAGCAGUGAAAUGCGUAGAGAUCAGGAGGAACACCGAUGGCGAAGGCAGCCCCCUGGGCCUGUACUGACGCUCAUGCACGAAAGCGUGGGGAGCAAACAGGAUUAGAUACCCCGUAGUCCCUGUCUCUUAUACA
rnacentral:rRNA from 1 species